GUAAUUGAUUUCACAGGGGACGGGGAAGGAGAGAAAGAACUUCGGCGAGUGAUGGAUGUGCGGAAGGGUGAAUAAUCGCCCGAGGCCGGGAGAGCCCCCCCAGGCAAACGAAACGAACGAAUUAAGGAAGGAGAAAGGGACGCCCGGGGGUGGGGGGGCGGUAUCGAGGUGAGGUCUGCCCGCAGCCGUCGCUCGAUCCGAUUUUAGGAAAUCGGGAAGAUGUUGCAAGUUCCUGAAAGCGCUGCUCGAAACGCAGCCUUUGGAGGAAGGGCAGCGUUUGCUGGGACUCUGCCAAAGUGCCAGGCGUGCCACUUUUGUCCCCGGUUCCCGCAGGAGGGCUUUGUGUUUCGCAGCAGCUGCCGGGCCGGGGGCAGCUCGCAGCGCUCCUGGGAGCCUCGAGCUCCGGAGAAGGGCGGUGUCCGAGGGGGAGCCCUCGAAAUUCAGCAAAGCAGAGGGAAACGGGAGCGGAGGGUGGAGGUCAGGCCCCGGUUGGGCUGUCCCUCUCGGCUAGCAGGAGGCAGAUGCACCGGAUCAAUGAGAAAACCUGAGAAAGGGUCGCAGACCUUUGUGAGAGGGGAGAGAGGGAGUCUCGUCUCCACUGCCAUCUAACAGGGCUUUUCUCAGCCCCUAACCCCGAGCUGGUGUAGGGCUGAGCCACUGCUUUGGGAACGAGCCUGGUCCUGCAGCUGCUUGAGGAUGGAUGAGGUGGAUCACAAGUUUCAAGGCUGUGAGGAGCACAUAAGGCUGAGCUGGCUGACCUGGGACAACUCUGCCACCAGGCUAUCCAUUUGUAGGGCCACUGGAUGCACCUCAGAAGGUCUCAAACCCCAUCUGCCCCAUAUGUGAGAGGGCUGGAGAAGAGGCUCAGGCCCAUCUCUGGAGAAGGAUGAAGGCAGCUGCAGCCUCGGGGGAUUGGAAGGCCUCUGCUUGGGCGCAGCCCCCCGGACCCGCUGGCCCCAGCCUUUGCUCCCUCCCUCCCUUCCCAGCUCCUCCUAACCACAAGGACUUUGGUUGAUGGAGCUGGCGCCAGCGAGUUCCCUGAAGAGUUCAGAAGUCAAGAACUGAGGCAGACAGGUGCAGGAGGAGGUGGUGGUGGCUGUGGUGGGCAUGGAGGCACAGCAUAGGCAGGGACAAAGCAGGACACAGCCAGGAGCAGCAGGCACCCCUUCAGCCCUCACCCAGGAGCGAGCAGCUGGGACCAGUUUGUGCCUUGGGCAAUGAGGCCCCACGGCAAAACCUCACAGCACAGGAAGGUAGGCCUGGGCCCCCACCACCUCCUCCUAUGCUCCCCCCUCCAAGGGCAGCUCCCUCCAGGCCUGGGCAUCUGUGGGGACCUUCCACCUGUGCCUCCACUGAGGGGGUUUGGAAAUAGGGGCACGUCCUCCCGCUCGACUUUUGAGAGGUGCUGAGAUUUGAAAUUGAGAAAACCCAUCUGGAGAAAGGGGAGAGGCACAGGUCCAGCAGAGCCAUUGCUGCUCUCGUUUCUCACCAACUCCAGGACCAAAAGCCCCCUCCUGCCCCACAC
rnacentral:lncRNA from 1 species